UGCCCAAUGCCUGCACCUGUGGAGACUCCCAGCACCUGGUGGGUGAGCCGCAGGGGGCUCGGGCCUCCAUACUGGGUCUCCAGCAGCAGGGGUGAGGUCUCUCCUGUGAUGGACUCAAAUGACUCAAACCCACUGGGCUCUGCCCGAGGCAUCUGCGCUAUGGAAGCAGCUUGCAAAUGGGCUCUCUGGGGCCACGCCGGCCCACGGCGGCCACAGCCUCGGCCAGGAGCCGUGGAGGGAAAGAUGAGGCCGCUGCAGCAUUUCCGUCUGCCAGGGCGACGGGGGCCAGCAGGGCAGGAGCAGCGGGGAACCCUGGGUGGUGGAGAUCCCCUGCCUUGGUCCAGGGGAGAAAGCUGGGGGCCGCAUUUGGCACCCCCAGGGCAGUGCCAGUGCAUGUUGGAUGUUAGACUCAGCCCCACAUGGCAAGGGGUGUUGAGCUUUGUUGAGCACAUACUAAGUGCCAGACCCCAGGCCAGGUGCUUUCCAUCCAUUUUGAUAAACAUCCAUUUUUAAAUUUAAUCUGCCAGUUCCAUUUCCCUGCCACAUCCAUUUGGAGCCAGCACGUAGCAGUGCUGUUCUCAGGCCAGAAUGUGGAGUAAGCAGGACAGACAGCGUCCCUGUCUGGGUGGAAGUUCCAGUCUAGUGACGUGUGGGUGCUAACGGUUUUCUAUAUGAGGAGGCCAAGGUUCAGAGAGGCCGAGGGAUCUCCCCAGAGUCACGGGGCCAGCAGGUACCAGAGCCUUCUCCCUAACCCAGGUCCUCCCCACGACUGUGCCUGCACAGAACCACACAGGAUCCCUGUUUAUCUUCAGAUCUUCAGCCUCUCUUGGAUGCUGGCCUUGUCUGGUUCUCUCCAGACACCCAGCACUAGGAAGGACCAUUCCGUCGGCUUGGAGUUCUUUUGCCCCGGGGAGAGCCGGAAUUGUCCUGGGGUCAUGGGUCACUCUGGCUCUGAGGCCCUGAGUCCUCUCUGGCUGAGUGGCCAGCAUUCAGCGCAUGCUGGUUUGGGCUGUAUGGGGCUCCAGGGCACCCUGCCACUCUCGGGCUCUGUGCCCAGGCUGGUGUGCUGGCAGGUGUGAGACUGCACGCAGUGUGGCAGCAGGCGGUGGCAAGGAGGGAGCUGUGGUCAUCCUCGUUCUUGGUGUUCCUACGGCCCAGAGGUGGGAACGUAUGAGACUGUACACCCAGAUGCCGUGUGCCAGACCAGGAUGGGCUCACAAGACACCAGCCCUGCAUGGGCAGACGGGGACCACAUCAGGUCACGGGGCACAAGAACCUUCUGGAGACCCCACCCCAUCUGUCGGCAUGGUUCACGUUCAUGGAUGACCAAUCAUCUCUGAGCGCUGUGGCGCUCAUGGCCCUGAGUCCACGGGUUUUCUCGUGUUUCAGAGCAGUUCUGAGCCCACUUCAUUCUGCAGAGCACUGGCUCAGAGAGGUUAUGGAACUCAUCAUGUGCCAGGCCCCAGGACGGCCACGGGAAGAGGCCUGAGAAUGCCGUCGAGUGACGGGAUCCAGCAGACCUGGUGGAGCACCGGGGCCUUGGCCAGAGGGGCUGGAGCCCUAGACCCAAGGUCUAAGCCCUGCACUGCCUGCGCCUGGCCCACAGGCAUGGCGGCCUCACUGAGAGGCAGGCUGCAUGUCCUCAGCAAACACGGGCACCAGACGGAGACCAGACAGAGGCCAGUACCAGGCGGGGCUGAGAAGUUAGCCGGAGCAUCCUAGGAUGCCAGGAAGCCUUCCAGAGGUGGCAGCCCCGCAGCCCCCGCUCCUUCCCACAGCUGACCUCCAGGGCUGCAGCUGCAGGGCCCCUGCGUCCAGCCCUCGGACCUGCCACGUCCCAGGGCCCCACUGCCAGGCACCGCCCCGUGCCGGCCCUGUACAGGCCACAUCUGCUGCAGCAGCCAUGCCAGAGCUCCGCCUCCCGGGCUCCGUCCCCAUGGAAACCACGGUGGGGGGGGCUCCUCCUGCAUUUGGCCCGCUGACUGGUUUCCAUUAGAGCCGGCCUGCUUUCCCUGAGCUCUGCCCCUGCAGUUCAAGGCUUCCCCUGGGGGUUUCUUCCCACAUUUACCGAGCACCAGCCGUUCCGUGCCAGGGAACCCAGCGGUCUGGGCCCCGCCCGCCCUGGCCAGCACCCACCGGUGGUGCCUGAUGCCCGGCACCGUGGCUGCUCCCCUGUCCUUUCUUAUCGAAGGCCAGCUGCUGCUGGGUCCUGGUGUCGUGGACUCAGCCCUGGAUCUGAGUCAGGGCACUGGGCUCCCAUCCUGGCUGGGCCGUAGAAUCACUGGUGGGCACUUGAAUAAGCCCCUUCCUCUCUCCGGGUCUCAGUUUACCCAUCUGUAAAAUGAAAAGCUCCAUCUAUUUCUUGAGUUCCUUGCAAUGCCGAGAAAGAAAGACAAAGAGAAAAUGAAGCCACAGUACACUGUUGCUGCCGGGUUCUCAGAACUGGGAUUUUUGUUUGCUUUCAAAGAGGGUUUUUUUUUUCUAGGGAAAGAGUCAUGGAAUUUGACCAGAGAUGAUUGUUUGAGGGGCCAAGAGCCAGCCAGAGCCCACGGACAUGCAGCAUGGAAGGUGUAGCCAGAAGCCUGGGCAGCGAUACCCGCCGGUCCGCCUUGGCAUCUGCUUGGCACCCAGUGACCUGGCUGUGAACACAGUGAGCGGAGGCAGGAAGUGUGCCUGCGCCGGAAUCCGAAGGGCUCUGGAAAACUCCCCAAGAGGUUUCCGGAGGUCAGAAAUGUGGGCAGAAAAUGAGAUCCAGCUUUUAAAAACCUGGCCGACUCAUCCCCCGGGAGCCUAGGGAGGCCUGGGAAGGUGCCUCCACCACCACGUGGCUGAGUUACGAGAAGAGCUCGCCGGGCUGGACCUGGGGGUGCUGGGCUGUUAGGGUCGGCAGCAAGGUGGCCCCAGCCCAGACUACGUCCUGGUGGUGUCUUCCUCCUCCAGCUCUUGGGAGUUGGGAGGCUUCAGCGGGGAGGUGGUGAUGGUACUGGGGCCUUUUGCCUGGCCUGCCAGUGGCCAGCAUGGCUCUCCCCGUGGGACCUUCCAGCUCCUGCUGCCUGGGGUGGUGGUGCGCGUUGGCCUCCCCUGGGCCCUGUGGGUGCUGGUGAUGGCCUGGGAACACGUUUCCAGCUCACAGAUGAACAGAGCCCGGGAGGUGGAAGACCUUCUUGGCAGCAGGGAGUGAAUGGCCCAGUGGGGUGGGCAGCUUGCUUAGCCUCCCCCAGCCUCGGUAUCCUCAUCUGUAAAAUGCGGCUAGUAACCUUGAUCUCCUGGUCAGGGUGAGAGUUAGACGAGACGAGAGGCGGGAUCAAAGCUGGAUAAAUGGCAGGAGACAGCACCGGAACUGCGCCCACCCCGCAUCCUUGUCAUGAUCAAGGCAGACCACACGUCCCAGAGAGCCCAGCUCCAUGAUGGGAGAGCAGGGCCAGGCUGACUGUGGUCAGGCCCACCUGGAGGGGCUGCUGGCAGGCUCUUGGGUGACAGCCACCCUGCCCUGGUGGCCCAGGUAGCCUGAGAGUUGGCGUUUCCUCUUCCUCCAUCUCAGUCAAGAGGCCGAGUCAAUUCCCCACUCAGCUUCUGCCCCUGCCUCCUGCCCGAGGCAACCUGGCUUUGCUGACUGGUCCCAGUGAUAGGGGACAUUGUCACUGUGGCUCAAAGGGCGGGCUUGGUGGCAUUUUCAGUUUUCUGUCCUGGGAAGGAAUGAAACCUUGGUUCGAGUGGCCGCAUCUGGGUGGCCACGGCCUUUGCACCCCCUGCCUUUGCGCCCCCCACCCCACCAUCCCGAUGAAAGUAGGCCGAGGGCGUCGGCACAGAGCGGCCGCCGCGGUCCUGGCCAGGGCUUGAUUUAGAUAUUCGGGGAGACUGGGAUAAGGUAGGAAAUGAAGGAAAUUUCCCCAGGGAAAGGGGAAGAGAAGACGGAGGAGCUUAAGUACCCACAUGAUUAUUAAGCGUGGCUGGUGAUUUACGGCCGGGCAGGCGGCUCCUGGCGGCUCCCUGCCCCCUCCCUCCCAGUGCCCUGCACCCUGGAGAGCCGCCAUGGGGAAAACAGAGGCCACCAGGUGGGCCCAGCACCCGAGCUCCGCCUUAUCUCCUGGGUCUAGGCCCUCGGCAGUCCCUGGGCAGGUGACGCAGCACGGGACACAGCUCCUCCAUGUGCUGGGCACUGACAUCUGUCAUUGGGGCCACCUCACAGAACCCUGACGGAUCACCGGCCCUGUCUUACAGGCCAGGAAGCCCAGGUCUGGAAGGUCGAGCCUCACGUGGCCCUCUAAACGGUGGAGUCUGAGCCAGCCUGGCCACCGGCCCAAACCCUAGGCCUUUCUCUCUACCACGGCCAGGUUCAGUGGCCUCUGGUGGGAAGGGCUGGGGAGGCCCUUGUCCCUCCUUAGAACAAGGGAUGCGGGUGGAAUGGUGGUGGCUGUGGUCGCGAAGCAGGCCUCUGCCCAUCCUGCCCUGUCUCCUGCCUUUCAGGGUGCCUGUACUUCUCUUGGCUGAAUUCCAGUCUCCCCUUCAGGGGACUCUUGAGACCCUCAACAGCCAGCCCUGACCCCCUCCGUGGCCCCAUCUUCGACCUCUGUAGACUAUGGCCUAGUGUCACCUCCUCCUGGAAGCCCUCCUUGCUCUCCACUCACCCAUUGCCCUGCUGUGGGGCCUGGGGCCUGGUAGUAGCCUGUCUGGGGCCAGGGAAGUGUUCCUCUGGGAAAUAUUUUAUGAGUGAAUGAAUCAGAAGAGAAAGCCAUGACCUGCCUGCCUGUGCUCAGUGCCACGUCAGAAGCCACCAAGCUGUGGCAUUGCCCCGGCAAGUUUAUUUUUCCACCUCCACUAAGUAAGUUCCACUUCAGGACUCAUCCGAGAGGUUGUGAAGCCACACGUCAUCAAAAACGGCAUCUUUGCACUCAGCAGGCAGGCUGGUGCAGCCCGUGGUGGGGGACCAUCCUGCCUGCUGUGGGGUAAGGACGGCUGUGUGCGCCAGGCUACAGGGAAGCCAAGGCUACUGCUUGGGGGUUUCACUGGGGAAUAUUAACAAACAGAGGUGGCCCAGAAGGGUCAUGGAGCCUUUUCUUCUCAGACUGCUGGGUAUGGAGGGCAGGGACCCAUUGACCCGUCAGGUGUCACCGGUGGGUGGUGGUGCAUUCUGUUAAUUUAGGUCAGAGAAUUUAGGUUCAGUUUACAGAUUUCCUGCACAGUCCCUCCUCUGCAUCGUAGCUCAUGAACAUCCUCUUCCUCCAGGAAGCCCUCACACGCUGCUGGGCCCUCUUCCUCCAGGAAGCCCUCACAGGCUGCUGGGCCCUCUUCCUCCAGGAGGCCCUCACACACUGUUGGGCCCUCUUCUUCCAGGAAGCCCUCACACGCUACUGGGCCCUCUUCCUCCAAGAAGCCCUCAUAUGCUGCUGGGCCCUCUUCCUCCAGGAAGCCCUCAUAUGCUGCUGGGCCCUCUUCCUCCAGGAAGCCCUCACGCUGCUGGGCCUUCUCUCCGGCCACCUCAUGGCAGCUGGGUCCUUGGCCCAUCUGGUCCCUCCGGAAGGAACCGUCGAAGCUACCAUGGCCUCGUCUUUCCACGUUCCACCUUCUCGGGUGCAAUGAACAAGUGUGUAGAUGCCACACAUCCUCCUGGGGCCUGGCAUCUUUGUCCAGAGGGCCCGAGGCAGCUCGGGGAAGGCCUUUCAAGUGCGUCUUGGGAAGCUCACGGCUGACCAGUGAGCAGGGCCUGGGUCCCACUCGGCCGUGUGAUCUUGGGCCAGCCCCUCCCCGGCUCUGAGCCUCAGCUUCCCACAGUCUCUCUGACCCCCACUUCUGACAUGUAGUGGAUCUCUAGAGGGUUCUGAGGGUUCAGGUGUGGAAUUGGCUGCCUCAGGCAUAAAAACAUUCCUGGGCUUCAACCUGGGAUCCCACCUGGAGGACAGAGGAGAGAUUUAUUGCAGAGAUGUUCAUGCAGUGCCUCUUUAAAUGUGGAAAGCUCGACGCACCAGCCGUGCUCCUGGGGUUGGGCGUUUGAAUUGAGGAGUUGUGAUAACAUGACCUGCCGGACUCUCGUGUGGCCGUUCACAAUGGGAGAAGCCUCUGUGGGCAGGUGGAGGCGGCCCACGUCCACACGCACACGGGAGCCCCUGCGAGCCAGGCCUGGCACAGGGUUGUCAGUAUUUGCUGCCACGUUCUCUCUCUCUCAAUUUUCCAGAACUUUGUUGAAUGAGCACCCAUUCCUUGUGCAAUGGGCAGAAAAUGUUUAAGUUACAAAACUUAUCAUCUGGCCAGAGUGACCCUAGCCUGGCUAAAUUAUCGCAACAUGUUCUCCCCCAAAAGAGAGACAUUUGCAAAAUGCUCAGGAGGUCAUGGGGCGGCCAUCUGCCAGGCACAUUUUAUUUCCUCCAUUUAAAAGGAGCAGAGCCGAUUGAAGGGGAAGGAAGGGGUGUUCUGGAGAUUGGGGUGCACAGGGGUGCUACAAGGCCAGCUUCCCCCACAUCUGGCGUGGCUGAUGAGAGCAACUUUGCUGCUGCUUUUGGGGCAGAAUCCAUCCUUGUAUAGCCUCGGGCACAUGGUUAGAAUGCUGGGAGUAUGAUGCCUGGAAACAAUACUAUAAAGAAAGCAGGACUCAGUUCUCUCAUCUAGAACCGGUGGCCCGUCGUUUUGCCGUUACAGAUACCAGCAGUGUUUGUGACAAACCCUAAUGGAACAGAAGCUCCCGGUGGGUGUGUGAAUGGCCACGUGUCUGGCCGUGGCUUGCUUUUCCAGAACCAACUUGGUGGUUAGCAGUCGUUGCCAGCUGCCUCGUGUGAGCACCUACUGUGUGCCGGGCAAGCCGCUGGGAAUUUCACGUCUGUUCAUUUUCUCUUCACUGUGGCGUCAGAUCACGGAGUAGGUGUAAAUAGUUGCCUUUAGGAUGUGAAGCUGGGGCUCGGAGAGGAGAGGCCAGCUUCUUGAAGACUGAAGAGCCUAGAAGAUUCUGUGCAACCUGUGUGUGGCUCAAGAGCCUGUGCUUCUCCCAGGGGUGACAGCUCCCCCACUAGAUGCCGUGUCCUUGGAGACUUGAACUCCCCCUGUGCUCUGAACACACCAGCUGCCGUGGUAGCCAUCAGACGUCCCUACUGGAGCCAUUUUGGCCCAAGAGAAGUGGCUGAGAUGGGGAUAUGGCCCUGGUUUGUGCAAACUCAGGGAAACUCGGGGAUGUGACCUCCUGCAGCUUUGCCGUGUGUUUUGACCUCUCCCAACUGCUUGGGUUUCUUUUUUUUUGGAGACAGAGUCUCACCCUGUCGCCCAGGCUGGAAUGUGGUGGCGUGAUCUUGGCUCACUGAUACUGCCGCCUCCCGGGUUCAAGCAAUUCUCCUGCCUUGGCGUCCUGAGUAGUUGGGAUUACAGACGUGCGCCACCACUCCUGGCUAAUUUUUAUAUUUUUAGUAGAGAUGGGGUUUCACUGUGUUGGCCACGCUGGUCUCGGAACUCCCGACCUCAGGUGAUACGCCCGCCGUGGCCUCCCAAAGUGCUGGGAUUACAGGCAUGAACCACUUUACCCGGCCUGCUUGGGGUUCCUUUGAGGCCUUGGACAUCCGACAGCAUUACUGAGGGCCGGAUUUCAAUCCUUUCCACAGCAUCUUCACACGUAAAUUGAGGGGCCCUUGGUAUAACUGACCUGUGCAUGGAGGAUGUUUCUCCUACAUGUGACCUUGGAGAGGGACCAGUUCACUGCUGAAGAUAAGACGAGUCUGAAUCCCUGGCUAGUCCUGGUCCCGGGCCUAGGCCCUGCAGCUUGGCCAACAUCGGGGUUCCUGCAGGGCACUCAGAGCCUCCUGGGCUGCCCCCAAAAGUGUCUGCUCAGGUCCUGCUGGCCACAUUUAUUGCCACAUCUCCCAGCCAGCCCCUGCAGCCUCCUCCCAGGCCCCUCCUGCCACAGGCCCAGGCUAGAGCUGGCGGUCAGUUGUAUGAAAAGAGGUGGGGGAGGAAUUUCUCCAGGCACUGGAGCUUGGAGUGACUUCUCCCAUGUACUCGAAGCCCCCUGGGGGAUUAGCAGUGGGUGCUGCUGUCCACUGAGUCCCACCAUGCCCAGGCAAGGAACAUCGUCUCUGACCUAUGUGCAAAUCCAAGAAGUUGGGUGUCAUUGUCCCCAUCUUACAGACAGAGAGACUGGGUCCCAGAGAGGCAAAGGAGCUUGUGCAGCAUGACCAGGGGCAGAGCUGAGAUGGGAACAGACCCUGUGGAUGGACCUAGGGGUGCUUGUGGGCAGGGGCAGGGAAGGGGCUAGGAUGGGGCUGGGGAUCGGCCUCUGGGGCAUUGUUCCCAGCCCCGUGUUCACUCUAAUGGGUUUAGCACCAGCCUCGAUGGGCCACGAUCUGUGAAAAUGGCCUAAGCUGGCCCUGUCCUGGGGGCCACACAGGGGUCCUGCAAGGAAGCACACCUCGGGGUGUGGGCUCAGAGCAGGGACAGCCUUGGGAGGCUCAGGCAGCCCCAGGGAGGAGAGCAUUUUCCGAUUUUUUAAAAUCUCCGUAGGCAGGUAAUGCAGCAUUUGUCCAACUCAAGAACACAGUCACCAAAACCAGGCAGAGAGGAGGGGAGGUCACUGGGUGAGUGGUGGCAGGCAGGCUGCGGGAGCUGGUGCUGCUUGAUGGGGCUCCUGUGUCUCCAAGCCGGGGAGCUGAAGCUCCCAGGGCUACACCUGCCCCAAAGCUGGUGCCCACUCACUUGUGAGGGCAGAAAUCCCACAUCUCUGGUACAUCCAGGGCAGACGGGAGGUGGCCUGUGGGGCUGGGCCCUCGGCAGCUGCCCUGGCGCAGGGGGGUUCGGGCCCCACUAAAGGCUGCUCAGUCUCUCUCCACUUGCCACUGGGGGAACAGGCUUGUCCCGUCUCCCCUCCCCUCCCCUGGCUCCUGUAACCUGGAAGUCAGACUUUUGAUGCUAACCUGGGUUCGAGAUACAUUAAAUUGGGCUAGCUACAAAAAAGUGGGCCUCCGUGGCUGGGCCUGCCCUGGUGGCAGCCCUGUGAACCUGAGCGGGGGCAUGCCAUGCCAGUCCCCAUGCUGUCUGGGGAGCUCCAGUCUGUGGUACUUUUCCUGGGGGGCCCCAGAACUCCUGUCUUGUCUGCUCCAGGUGAGGGCAUUGGGGUGGUCCCAGCCAGCCCAGGGCGGCAGGUGAGGGCAUUGGGGUGGUCCCAGCCAGCCCAGGGCGGCAGGUGAGGGCAUUGGGGUGGUCCCAGCCAGCCCAGGGCGGCAGGUGAGGGCAUUGGGGUGGUCCCAAGCCCAGGGCAGCAGGUGAGGGCAUUGGGGUGGUCCCAGCCAGCCCAGGGCGGCAGGUGAGGGCAUUGGGGUGGUCCCAGCCAGCCCGGGGCGGCAGGUGAGGGCAUUGGGGUGGUCCCAGCCAGCCCAGGGCGGCAGGUGAGGGCAUUGGGGUGGUCCCAGCCAGCCCAGGGCGGCAGGUGAGGGCAUUGGGGUGGUCCCAGCCAGCCCAGGGCGGCAGGUGAGGGCAUUGGGGUGGUCCCAGCCAGCCCAGGGCGGCAGGUGAGGGCAUUGGGGUGGUCCCAGCCCAGGGCGGCAGGUGAGGGCAUUGGGGUGGUCCCAGCCAGCCCAGGGCGGCAGGUGAGGGCAUUGGGGUGGUCCCAGCCAGCCCAGGGCGGCAGGUGAGGGCAUUGGGGUGGUCCCAGCCAGCCCAGGGCGGCAGGUGAGGGCAUUGGGGUGGUCCCAGCCCAGGGCGGCAGGUGAGGGCAUUGGGGUGGUCCCAGCCCAGUGUGGCAGGUGAGGGUGGGCCACAUGGGAUUUCCUAACCAGCCUGCAGGGGGAUAUCUCCGUGGGUGGCAGGCAGGGGGACCCAGGGUUAUUAGAGUGGCUAUCAGGACUCGCUGGGCCCCAGGGUGGGGGCUUUUAUUUUGGCCCAGGCUGCUGGUGGGAGAGGUGGAGAGGGCGCCCCAGCCACCCUGAUGACGGGCUCUGUGGCCUCAGUGCAGCCUCCUAAGGGUCAGGACAGCAUGCAGCACAGCGCUUCCUGCAGGCUCUGUCCAAGAGGCAGGAGCAGCGGGCCUGCGCCGACCUCCCCUUGCUAUCUAUCACCUGCAGCUUCUGUGGGACCCCAGACCCCUCCCAGCCCUCAGUGGGCGUGGAGAUUGUCACCAUGGACCUGUUCCCAUUUUCAGAGAUGGGCUGAUUAUGGCACAGCCUCUGUGGGAUGGGAAGAGGGUCGGGGUGGGGGUGCUGGCUGUAGGCUUUGCCCAGUGUGUGGCCAAGCACAUCUGUGGGAUGCCACCAGCAGGUCCCCCAGCCUCGGAAGCCUCAUGAAACCAACUUGAGGCCAGGAGUGUUGCUGAGAAGGAGCCCCCCUAGCUAGUUAGCAGUGACCGGGUUGACUCCUGGCCCUACCCCCGUCCCUGACCCAGCACCACUCACACUCUCAGCUAUCAAAGAGGAGAGUGGCCCCGGUCCUCAGGCGACAGGGUUUUGGGAUGGCCACACUAGGCCACCCAGCCGGCCAAGCAUUCUUGCAACCUGGGGUCCAUAGGAGCUGGGAAGCCUGGGCCUGGGGAGGGUUCCAGGGGGUGUGGGAGAGAAAACAGUCUCCGGGGGCCUCAGUGCCCGAGGUGUGCAGCCGUGCAAGGCUGUGCAGCGCCCUCCCGCUUCAGGACCUGGACCCUACCUUCCUCCUACCCCCACUCAGGGCUCAGCAUCCCACCUGAGUCUGGCCUAAGGCCCAGCAGAACCCCAGCUGUGGCAUCAGACUUGGGCUGGGUUUGCCCUCGAAUCCUCACCAAUAGCGAGCGGUGCCCGCCUGCCAGCCUGACUUGAGGCAGGAUGGGGAGGGGAAGGAGCGGGCCUCUGGGUCACCCUGGGCGAAUGCCGGCUCCUGGGCCUUGAUGUUCUCCUGCAGUCAGUCUUGGGGUGUCUCUCUCUGUGGCUCACAGUGACCACUUGAGUCACCUCUUCGGAAAGAACCAAAGUCCCAUUUGUACCUUGUAAGUCCCAGAUAUUGGAUGUCAUUCCAGGAGUGAUGGGGGAUGAGUGGGGCACUUCCCAGCAUCCUGGGUGCCAGGCACUAUGUGCUGGGCCCAGGGACAAAGCCACAUAAGACAUGAUCCAUGCCAUGGAGCUACCAGGCCUGGGGAGAGAUGGGCAUUGCAAGUAUCUGUGAGCUGAUUUCAAGAGACCCCCAGUUUACUGCUAGAGCUAGGGAGAUCCCUGAUUGAGGAGGGCUCCCUGGAGGAGGUGGCCUAAAUAAUGGGUAGGAAUGGGGCCUUUGAUGGUGGGAGAACACUCCAGCCCUCGGGAACAGUGGGUGCCAAGGCAGGGCUGAGCGAGGGUGGCAGGGACUUCUUUGAGCACUGAGGUGGAGAGACGGUGCUCUGCUGUGAGCCAGCACCCCAAGCCCCACUGGCCCUUCCUCUGUGGACACUAGAGGACAUCCACGUCCACAGCUCGCGUGCAGGAGCCAGCGGGUGGGGUUUGAUUUUGGGCGUGCGUGUCAGGCAGGAGCGGAGGCAAAGGCAGAGGCCGUCCUCACAGCCCUUUGUCUCCCAGGAAAGUUCUUAACCUCAGGCCUCGCCGGGUUGGGCCCACCUGCAGGAAGUUGUGAGGGGUCCCUGAGGGGUGGAGGGAGAGGCCACCUUCACUCCCUCCCCAGUCUUCAGCCACCAGACCUCCUGAGCUGACUUCCUGGUCUCCUUGUGUC